rnacentral:rRNA from 1 species
CCUACGGGGGGCUGCAGUCGGGAAUAUUGCGCAAUGGAGGAAACUCUGACGCAGUGACGCCGCGUGCAGGAAGAAGGUUUUCGGAUUGUAAACUGCUUUAGACAGGGAAGAAACAAGACAGUACCUGUAGAAUAAGCUCCGGCUAACUACGUGCCAGCAGCCGCGGUAAUACGUAGGGAGCAAGCGUUAUCCGGAUUUAUUGGGUGUAAAGGGUGCGUAGACGGGAAUGCAAGUUGGUUGUGAAAUCCCUCGGCUCAACCGAGGAAUUGCAACCAAAACUAUAUUUCUUGAGUGCUGGAGAGGAAAGUGGAAUUCCUAGUGUAGCGGUGAAAUGCGUAGAUAUUAGGAGGAACACCAGUGGCGAAGGCGACUUUCUGGACAGUAACUGACGUUGAGGCACGAAAGUGUGGGGAGCAAACAGGAUUAGAUACCCCUGUAGUC